rnacentral:rRNA from 1 species
UAUGGCUCAGGAUGAACACUAGCUACAGGCUUAACACAUGCAAGUCGAGGGGAAACGAUAUUGGAAGCUUGCUUCCGAUAGGCGUCGACCGGCGCACGGGUGAGUAACGCGUAUCCAACCUGCCCACCACUUGGGGAUAACCUUGCGAAAGUAAGACUAAUACCCAAUGAUAUCUCUAGAAGACAUCUGAAAGGGAUUAAAGAUUUAUCGGUGAUGGAUGGGGAUGCGUCUGAUUAGCUUGUUGGCGGGGUAACGGCCCACCAAGGCGACGAUCAGUAGGGGUUCUGAGUGGGAGGUCCCCCACAUUGGAACUGAGACACGGUCCAAACUCCUACGGGAGGCAGCAGUGAGGAAUAUUGGUCAAUGGGCGAGAGCCUGAACCAGCCAAGUAGCGUGCAGGAUGACGGCCCUAUGGGUUGUAAACUGCUUUUAUAAGGGAAUAAAGUGAGCCUCGUGAGGCUUUUUGCAUGUACCUUAUGAAUAAGGACCGGCUAAUUCCGUGCCAGCAGCCGCGGUAAUACGGAAGGUCCGGGCGUUAUCCGGAUUUAUUGGGUUUAAAGGGAGCGUAGGCCGGAGAUUAAGCGUGUUGUGAAAUGUAGAUGCUCAACGUCUGCACUGCAGCGCGAACUGGUUUCCUUGAGUACGCACAAAGUGGGCGGAAUUCGUGGUGUAGCGGUGAAAUGCUUAGAUAUCACGAAGAACUCCGAUUGCGAAGGCAGCUCACUGGAGCGCAACUGACGCUGAAGCUCGAAAGUGCGGGUAUCGAACAGGAUUAGAUACCCUGGUAGUCCGCACGGUAAACGAUGGAUGCCCGCUGUUGGUCUGAAUAGGUCAGCGGCCAAGCGAAAGCAUUAAGCAUCCCACCUGGGGAGUACGCCGGCAACGGUGCAACUCAAAGGAAUUGACGG